rnacentral:rRNA from 1 species
CGUGGGGCCUAUCUGCAGUCGAGCGAAUCACUGGGAGCUUGCUCCCGGUGGUUAGCGGCGGACGGGUGAGUAACAGGUGGGCAACCUGCCUGUCGACUGGGAUAACAUCCGGAAACCGAUGCUAAUACCGGAUAAUCCUUUCCCUCUCUUGAGGGGAAGUUGAAAGUCGGUUUCGGCUGACACUUACAGAUGGGCCCGCGGCGCAUUAGCUAGUUGGUGAGGUAACGGCUCACCAAGGCGACAAUGCGUAGCCGACCUGAGAGGGUGAUCGGCCACACUGGGACUGAAACCCGGCCCAAACUCCUACGGGAGGCACCACUAGGGAAUCUUCCACAAUGGACGAAAGUCUGAUGGAGCAACGCCGCGUGAGCGAUGAAGGCCUUCUGGUCGUAAAGCUCUGUUGUUAGGGAAGAACAAGUACCGGAGUAACUGCCGGUACCUUGACGGUACCUAACCAUAAAGCCACGGCUAACUACGUGCCAGCAGCCGCGGUAAUACGUAUGUGGCAAGCGUUGUCCGGAAUUAUUGGGCGUAAAGCGCGCGCAGGCGGUCCUUUAAGUCUGAUGUGAAAGCCCACGGCUCACCCGUGGAGGGUCAUUGCAAACUGGGGGACUUGAGUGCAGAAGAUGAAAGCGGAAUUCCACGUGUAGCGGUGAAAUGCAUAAAGAUGUGGAGGAACACCAGUGGCGAAGGCUGCUUUCUGGUCUGUAACUGACGCUGAUGCGCGAAAGCGUGGAGAGCAAACACGAUUAGAUACCCUGGUAGUCCACGCCGUAUACGAUGAGUGCUAAGUGUUACGGUGUUUCCUCCCCUUAGUGCUGCAGCUAACGCAUUAGGCACUCCGCCUGGCGAGUACGGACCGUCAAGGCUGAUACUCAGAGGAACUUGACGGGCGGCUCGCACAUGCGGUGGAGCAUGUAGGUAUCACUUCAGAAGCAUCACGAAGACUCUUUACUCCGGUCCUUGACAUCCUCUGACACUACUAUAGAUUGGACGUUUCCCCUUUCGACAG